GACGAACCGUGCGAACGUUGUUCGGAAUCACUGGGCUUAAAGGGCGCGUAGGCGGGCGGUCCAGUCAGGGGUGAAAUCUUUCGGCUCAACCGGAAAAGUGCCCCUGAUACUGACGGCCUCGAGGGUGUAGGGCAUGUGGAACUAAUGGUGGAGCGGUGAAAUGCGUAGAUAUCAUUAGGAACGCCGGUGGCGAAAGCGACGUGCUGGACACCUUCUGACGCUGAGGCGCGAAAGCCAGGGAGCGAACGGG
rnacentral:rRNA from 1 species